rnacentral:sRNA from 1 species
GCUUAGCCCAGAUUGAAACGGCAUCCUUUUUUGAGGAACGAAAAAAAGAUAUAGUUGAAAGCUGGAAAUAGC